UGUGUCGGUACCCAGGAGCGUGUCCAGGUUCUGGGUUCCCAUCAGACGAGAAGGAGGCAUUUCCAGUUCAAGGCGGUAUGACAGGUUCCUCAAAGUGCACACACAGUUUUCCACAAUCUGAAGAGAAGUGACAUACAACAGAUGGCAUGCUGGUACUACAUUUUGUGGAAAAAAACACAGUUCCACAUUCGGCCACUAGGGGCGCCCGAGAUGCUUUUGGACCUUCUAGGAGUGGCACAGAAAACAUCUGACAUCAACAAAGCUAUUCUGUGGGACAUCUCUCACCUUGCUGUCAUAAUCGGAGGUGUUUACACAAGUUUUAAUAAUAUAGAGGAGAGAAUCGAUCAGCCCUUCACAGCAGCGCAUCUGCCUUCUUG